AACAAACGCUGGCGGCGUGCCUAACACAUGCAAGUCGUACGAGAAAGUCGGCUUCGGCCGAUGAGUACAGUGGCGCACGGGUGAGUAGCGCGUGGGUAAUCUGCCCCCCGGUCAGGAAUUAACCCGCCGAAAAGGCGGGCUAAUACCCGAUAACACUGACGCUCCGCGGAGCGUCUUUCAAAGAAGGCCUCUGUUUACAAGCUUUCGCCGGAGGAUGAGCCCGCGUACCAUUAGCUAGUUGGCAGGGUAAUGGCCUACCAAGGCUACGAUGGUUAGCUGGUCUGAGAGGAUGGCCAGCCACACUGGAACUGAGACACGGUCCAGACUCCUACGGGAGGCAGCAGUGAGGAAUCUUGCGCAAUGGGGGAAACCCUGACGCAGCAACGCCGCGUGAGUGAGGAAGGCCUUCGGGUCGUAAAGCUCUGUCAGAUGGGAAGAAAUGGAUGGGGGCUAAUAUCGCCCAUCCUUGACGGUACCAUCAGAGGAAGCACCGGCUAACUCCGUG
rnacentral:rRNA from 1 species